rnacentral:lncRNA from 1 species
UCCAACAAUGAUAGACUGGAUUAAGAAAAUGUGGCACCCUCUGUUCUUAAUAAAAGGCCAUUACAGCUACUGUUGCAGCAGUGCAAGAGCACCAACGUUUAAAAAACAUGUUUUGUAUGUGAUCAAUCUAGCUUUUCAAUAUACCACUUUUUGUAAUUUGGUAUAAUAAAAUUAAAUUGUAAGUAAAAUUAAAAUUGAAGAUAAAAAUAGUGGUGUAUUCAUAAGUCUUUAUAAGUCUGACAAAAUAAAUCAGGGGAAACAAUUUAUGGCAAGUUUAUCAGCCCCUCCCUCCAGCUCUAUUUAAAUAGGUCCUUCCUAUUAA